rnacentral:rRNA from 1 species
UUCUUCCAAUCCUAGUCACGAUUGCUUCUCUGCGCUGGCACAUCUCGACUAAGCUUUCACAACCUGAACGUGUGAUCGCCUAUGUUGUGAGCGCUGGGAUGGU